GCCGGGCGUGGUGGCGGGCGCCUGUAAUCCCAGCUACUCGGGAGGCUGAGGCAGGAGAAUCGCUUCAACCCAGGAGGUGGAGGUUGCAGUGAGCUGAGAUCAUACCACUGCACUCUAGCCUGGGCGACAGAGCGAGACUCUGUCUCAA
rnacentral:SRP_RNA from 1 species